rnacentral:lncRNA from 1 species
AGAAAUUUUUUAAAAGAAGGAAAUUAAUACAUGGUUUUUCUCUAGAUUUUCUUCACUUCAGUCUUUGUACUAACCUCUUAAAAGCCAUGGCAUUCCAUUGCUUUAUUUGUGCAAAUGCCAGGGGUGGUUUUUAUUUUUAUUUUUGCUAUUUACCUAGAGAGAGAGAGAGAGAGAGAGAGAGAGAGAGAGAGAGAGACAAUGCUUCAGUCAAUUGCUUUUUUAUUUAAAAUUUAAAGGAAAAAAAAAGAAAAAAAAAAGCUGUAACCUUAUCAUUUCUGAGUAGACCAUUGAGAGAAAUGCACACCUGUCAGCCCAGGACCAGCUUUGGUGGCUAAAGGGAAUAUUUUAACUUCACAAGAUAAGAUGUUCUGUACAAAAUGUGGUAUAUGUUAUCCACAGUCUGUUUCAGUUAUUCCCAUAAGUCAGGUCCAGAUAAAUGAGGGUUAUCAGCUAACUGAUAUGUUAUCAUUGAGGUUCGUCAAUGAAUUUGUACAUUUCUAGUUCCCUUUGGUGAAGGGAAAAAUGAUGAUUUUGCAAGACCUAGAUUUUGGCUUGGUUUCUUGCCUCCUUUUUUGGCAGCCUUCAUCUUUUCCUAAAGCCCUUGAGCCUGUAGGGUUUUCAUAGUGGACAAAGGACUUAAAUGGUCUUUUAAAACUGGGAUAGUUUUUGGGGAAAGGGCAAGAGAUUAUCAUAUUGAACAUAUAGUAUCCUAAUACUUUUAACAGUGGAUAAUUUUGAGUAAACCCAGUCCUUUCAAUUUUUAGAUUAAACAUGCCCACAGUGGAGGCUUACCAAAGGUUGCAAUGAGGAGGAAGCCUCUCCCUCUCUGUCAGCCCAGCUGGUAAAGGGGACUGUGCAGAUGUGCAUUUUCCUUUCGGUAGAAAUGGUCCGCAGCACUAACUGGUAAGGAUUAUUGUACAGUAUAUUGUCAGUAUUCUUCUGGUUCAGCAUACCUUAUAGUUCGUAUAUAACCUGUAUUAAUUGUAUAGAUUGUGCAUUUAAAGCUGUUACCAAGUUGUCAGAACCUUAAGAACGAAAACAGGUCAUAUGUAAUAUUUUGUUUGUAAGUAUCCUUUGUAUCAUAGCAAAGGAAAUGUUUAAAAGAUCAACUGUAAUAAAAGUAAUUUUAG